rnacentral:rRNA from 1 species
GAUGAACGCUGACAGAAUGCUUAACGCAUGCAAGUCUUUGGCGAAGCUGUGCUUGCACAGCCUAGCCAAGGCGGACGGGUGAGUAACGCGUAAGGAACUUGCCCUGCAGUCAGGGAUAACAGACGGAAACGACUGAUAAGACCUGGUAAAGUCAGGCGGACUCAUGUCCAGCCUGAUGAAAAGAGAUGCUGCAGGAGAGCCUUGCGUCCUAUUAGCUUGUUGGUGGGGUAACGGCCCACCAAGGCGAUGAUAGGUAGCCGGCCUGAGAGGGUGGACGGCCACAAGGGGACUGAGAUACGGCCCUUACUCCUACGGGAGGCAGCAGUGGGGAAUAUUGGACAAUGGGGGCAACCCUGAUCCAGCAAUUCUGUGUGCACGAUGAAGGUUUUCGGAGUGUAAAGUGCUUUCAGCAGGGAAGAAAAAAAUGACGGUACCUGCAGAAGAAGCGACGGCUAAAUACGUG